ACUAAGCGUACACGGUGGAUGCCCUGGCAGUCAGAGGCGAUGAAGGACGUGCUAAUCUGCGAAAAGCGUCGGUAAGGUGAUAUGAACCGUUACAGCCGGCGAUGUCCGAAUGGGGAAACCCAGUGUGAUUCGUCACACUAUCGUUAACUGAAUACAUAGGUUAACGAGGCGAACCGGGGGAACUGAAACAUCUAAGUACCCCGAGGAAAAGAAAUCAACCGAGAUUCCCCCAGUAGCGGCGAGCGAACGGGGAGCAGCCCAGAGUCUGAAUCAGCUUGUGUGUUAGUGGAACGGUCUGGAAAGUCCGACGGUACAGGGUGAUAGUCCCGUACACCAAAAUGCACAGGUUGUGAACUCGAAGAGUAGGGCGGGACACGUGGUAUCCUGUCUGAAUAUGGGGGGACCAUCCUCCAAGGCUAAAUACUCCUGACUGACCGAUAGUGAACCAGUACCGUGAGGGAAAGGCGAAAAGAACCCCGGCGAGGGGAGUGAAAAAGAACCUGAAACCGUGUACGUACAAGCAGUGGGAGCACCUUCGGGUGUGACUGCGUACCUUUUGUAUAAUGGGUCAGCGACUUAUAUUCUGUAGCAAGGUUAACCGUAUAGGGGAGCCGCAGGGAAACCGAGUCUUAACUGGGCGUUAAGUUGCAGGGUAUAGACCCGAAACCCGGUGAUCUAGCCAUGGGCAGGUUGAAGGUUGGGUAACACUAACUGGAGGACCGAACCGACUAAUGUUGAAAAAUUAGCGGAUGACUUGUGGCUGGGGGUGAAAGGCCAAUCAAACCGGGAGAUAGCUGGUUCUCCCCGAAAGCUAUUUAGGUAGCGCCUCGUGAAUUCAUCUUCGGGGGUAGAGCACUGUUUCGGCUAGGGGGUCAUCCCGACUUACCAACCCGAUGCAAACUACGAAUACCGAAGAAUGUUAUCACGGGAGACACACGGCGGGUGCUAACGUCCGUCGUGAAGAGGGAAACAACCCAGACCGCCAGCUAAGGUCCCAAAGUCACAGUUAAGUGGGAAACGAUGUGGGAAGGCACAGACAGCCAGGAUGUUGGCUUAGAAGCAGCCAUCAUUUAAAGAAAGCGUAAUAGCUCACUGGUCGAGUCGGCCUGCGCGGAAGAUGUAACGGGGCUAAACUGUGCACCGAAGCUGCGGCAGCGACACUAUGUGUUGUUGGGUAGGGGAGCGUUCUGUAAGCCUGCGAAGGUGGCCUGUGAGGGUUGCUGGAGGUAUCAGAAGUGCGAAUGCUGACAUAAGUAACGAUAAUGCGGGUGAAAAGCCCGCACGCCGGAAGACCAAGGGUUCCUGUCCAACGUUAAUCGGGGCAGGGUGAGUCGACCCCUAAGGCGAGGCCGAAAGGCGUAGUCGAUGGGAAACAGGUUAAUAUUCCUGUACUUGGUGUUACUGCGAAGGGGGGACGGAGAAGGCUAUGUUAGCCGGGCGACGGUUGUCCCGGUUUAAGCAUGUAGGCGGAGGUUCCAGGUAAAUCCGGUACCUUUUAACGCUGAGGUGUGAUGACGAGGCACUACGGUGCUGAAGUAACAAAUGCCCUGCUUCCAGGAAAAGCCUCUAAGCAUCAGGUAACAUUAAAUCGUACCCCAAACCGACACAGGUGGUCAGGUAGAGAAUACCAAGGCGCUUGAGAGAACUCGGGUGAAGGAACUAGGCAAAAUGGUGCCGUAACUUCGGGAGAAGGCACGCUGAUAUGUAGGUGAAGCCCCUGCGGGUGGAGCUGAAAUCAGUCGAAGAUACCAGCUGGCUGCAACUGUUUAUUAAAAACACAGCACUGUGCAAACACGAAAGUGGACGUAUACGGUGUGACGCCUGCCCGGUGCCGGAAGGUUAAUUGAUGGGGUUAUCCGUAAGGAGAAGCUCUUGAUCGAAGCCCCGGUAAACGGCGGCCGUAACUAUAACGGUCCUAAGGUAGCGAAAUUCCUUGUCGGGUAAGUUCCGACCUGCACGAAUGGCGUAAUGAUGGCCAGGCUGUCUCCACCCGAGACUCAGUGAAAUUGAACUCGCUGUGAAGAUGCAGUGUACCCGCGGCAAGACGGAAAGACCCCGUGAACCUUUACUAUAGCUUGACACUGAACAUUGAGCCUUGAUGUGUAGGAUAGGUGGGAGGCUUUGAAGCGUGGACGCCAGUCUGCGUGGAGCCAACCUUGAAAUACCACCCUUUAAUGUUUGAUGUUCUAACGUUGGCCCCUGACCGGGGUUGCGGACAGUGUCUGGUGGGUAGUUUGACUGGGGCGGUCUCCUCCCAAAGAGUAACGGAGGAGCACGAAGGUUAGCUAAUCCUGGUCGGACAUCAGGAGGUUAGUGCAAUGGCAUAAGCUAGCUUGACUGCGAGCGUGACGGCGCGAGCAGGUGCGAAAGCAGGUCAUAGUGAUCCGGUGGUUCUGAAUGGAAGGGCCAUCGCUCAACGGAUAAAAGGUACUCCGGGGAUAACAGGCUGAUACCGCCCAAGAGUUCAUAUCGACGGCGGUGUUUGGCACCUCGAUGUCGGCUCAUCACAUCCUGGGGCUGAAGUAGGUCCCAAGGGUAUGGCUGUUCGCCAUUUAAAGUGGUACGCGAGCUGGGUUUAGAACGUCGUGAGACAGUUCGGUCCCUAUCUGCCGUGGGCGCUGGAGAAUUGAGGGGGGCUGCUCCUAGUACGAGAGGACCGGAGUGGACGCAUCACUGGUGUUCGGGUUGUCAUGCCAAUGGCAUUGCCCGGUAGCUAAAUGCGGAAGAGAUAAGUGCUGAAAGCAUCUAAGCACGAAACUUGCCCCGAGAUGAGUUCUCCCUGAGACUUUAAGUCUCCUGAAGGAACGUUAAAGACGAUGACGUUGAUAGGUCGGGUGUGUAAGCGUAGCGAUACGUUGAGCUAACCGAUACUAAUGAACCGUGAGGCUUAACC
rnacentral:rRNA from 1 species